UGGGGCUUGUAGUCAGAUUGGCAGAGGAAGGGAGAGGAUGGAGGGAGCGAGUCGGCUGGUCCAAAGGGAGGACAUGAAGGACCUGUUUGGAACAGAUUAUGACUGAUAAGAUACAGGGACCCAUACCCCGACACAAUGGGGAAGUGUUGUACCCAGGAACCUAGGUCUCUACGGCACUGGGAAAUAUGAUUGACAGAUGGACCUGGAAGGACUACCAUCGUACAUAGAAGGGAUGGAUGGAUGAACAGGUCCUGUCACUGUGUCUACCAACUCUGCACCCCUGAAUAGUCCAGAGAGCCACAAGCCCUCGCAGUGAACCAAGGUGCUCCAGUGAAUACGGAGAGAGGCCCUGGAUGGGAGGUCUGCAGGGGUUUCUCAUGGUCUCACUUAGAAGGAACUGUUACUUAGAAUUAAUUGUCAAAGCUUCUUUCAGUAGUGUUGAUCCUAAUUGAACUGUCUGCAAACAAGCGAACAUAUAAAGAAUCAGAUUUAAGUGGAUAACACCAUUUGGAUUUAUCGACAUGAAGCUGAAACCCAGCGAUACUCAGGUUACGUUUCAUAUACUGUACUGAACAAAAAUAUAAACGCAACAUUCAACCAUUUCAACAAUUUUUUACAGAGUUACAGUUCAUAUACUGAAAUCAGUCAAUUUAAAUAAAUACAGAUACCCAGUCGGGAAUACAGAUACCUUUAAAAAAAAAGUAUGGGUGUGGAUCAGAAAACCAGUCAGUAUAUUGGCUCAUGCAGUGCGACACAUCUCCUUCGUAUAGGCAGUGGAACACGCUGUCGUACACGUAAAUCCAGAGCAUCCCAAACAUUCUCAGUGGGUGACAUGUCUGGUGAGUAUACAAGCCAUGGAAAAACUGGGAUAUUAUCAGCAGACAGGAAUUGUCUCCAGAUCCUUGCGACGUGGGGCUGUGCAUUAUCAUGCUGAAACAUGAGGGGAUGGCGGCGGAUGAAUGGCACGACAAUGGGCCUCAGGAUCUCGUCACGGUAUCUCUGUGCAUUCAGGUUGCCAUCAAUAAAAUGCAAUUGUGUUUGUUGUCCGUAGCUUAUGCCUGUCCAUACCAUAACCCCAUCGCCACCAUGGGGCACUCUGUUCACAAUGUUGACAUCAGCAAACCGCUCGCCCACACACAACGGCAUACAAGCUGUCUGCCACCUGUCUGGUACAAUUGAAACCGGGAUUAAUUAGUGAAGAGCACACUUCUCCAGCGUGUUAGUUGCCAUCGACGGUGAGCAUUUCCCCACUGAAGUCUAUUACAACGCCGCACUGCAGUCACGUUAAGACCCUAGUGAGGAUGAUGAGCACGCAGAUAAGCUUCCCUGAGAUGGUUUCUAACAGUUUGUGAAGAAAUUAUUUGGUUGUGCAAGCCCACAGUUUCAUCAGCUGUUCGGGUGGCUGGUCUCAGAUAAUCCUGCAGGUGAAAGGGGGUACCUAGUCAGUUGUACAACUGCAUUGAAUGCAUUCAAAUGAAAUGUGUCUUCCGCAUUUAACCCAACCCCUCUGAAUCAGAGAGGUGCGGGGGCUGACUUAAUUGACAUCCAAGUCUUCAGCGCCCUGGGAACAGUGGGUUAACUGCCUUGCUCAGGGGCAGAACAACAUAUUUUUACCUUGUCAGCUCUGGGAAUUGAUCCAUCAACCUUUCGGUUAGUAGCCCAACGCUCUAACUGCUAGGCUACCUGCCGAAGAAGCCAGAUGUGGAGGUCCUGGGCUGGAGUGGUUACAUGUGGUCUGUGGUUGUGAGGCUGGUUGGACGUACUGACAAAUUCUCUAAAAUGAUGUUUGAGGCGGCUUAUGGUAGAGAAAUUAACAUAAAAUGAUCUGGCAACAUCUAUGUUGGACAUUCCUGCAGUCAGCAUGCCAAUUGCACGUGUUGUGUGAUAAAACUGCACCUUUUAGAGUGGCCUUUUAUUGUCCCCCAGCACAAGCUGCACCUGUGUAACAACAAUGCGGUUUAAUCAGCCACACCUGAAUUAUCUUGGCAAAGGAAAAAUGCUCACUAACAGGGAUGUAAACAAAUUUGUACAAUACAUUUUUGAGAAAUAAGCGUUUUGUGUAUUUGGAACAUUUCUGGGAUCUUUUAUUUCAGCUCAUGAAACAUGGGACCAAGACUUUACAUUAUUUAUAUUUUUGUUCAGUGUAUAUAGUGAAAAUAAAUAACAGCACAUCUAUACAACUUUCCCUGAUGUACUGUGUAGUUCAGUGGUACUAUAGCUAAAGUCACAUUAUAGAGAUAGGGAAACACCAGUAUUUUGUUCUGCUAAUAUACACCCUUAGAGAAAAAGGUGCAUCUAGAACCUAAAACAGUUAUUUUGCUGUCCCCAUAGGAGAACCCUUUGAAGAUCCCUUUUUGGUUCCAGGUAGAACCAUUUCCCCAGAGAGUUGUACAUGGUACCCAAAAGAGUUCUACCUAGAACCAGAAAGGGUUCUACCUGGAACAAAAAGGGUUCUCCUAUGGACGCAGCCAAAGAACCCUUUCGGAACCCUUUUUUCUACGAGUGUAUUGAGAACAAAAAUGAUAUGUGGACAGAGAUAAAUUAAUAGGAAUUGAUAAAAUGUUACUGCUUUAGAAUGAGGUUUUAUUUAGAAUUAUAGCAAGGGUCCAGUGUUGUAAUUCAAUAAAAGGAGAUGACAAAAAAUACAAUCUGACUUUGGUACCAAUGUCUGCCGGCUACAUUGUGCUUUUGCCAUUUACAGUUGACGACCUACAUUUAUACAGUAUUUCUUCCUUUAAUAA